ensembl:lncRNA
UGUGUAUAUAUGUAUAUGUAUAUAUGUCUAUGUAUGUAUGUAUGUAUGUGUAUAUAUAUAUAUGUAAAUAUCCAUAAGGAUAAUCAUAAAACUUAGCUCUUUAUUCAAACGUUUAACUAGACUUUACAGUGUUACAGUCUGGAAAUAAAGCAGGGAUCACAGCCUGAUCUGAAUCUGUUCAUCUUGGUCCAUUUAUGUAAAACGAGUCUGUAACAUCUCCACAGUAACAAUAAGAUAUAAGUCAACCUCUGAAAGUCUAACGUUUGAAAGUGAAGCUUUUAACGCUUUACUUCCAAAGGCAUCAAGCUGAGAAUUACCAACGUAUUUUACCUCGAAAUAUAUGACUAUGUUUUACUGUAUAUACUAUAUAUACCUUCCUUCCAAGCAGAGAGAUAUUUUGCAAAUAUUACUGCAAAAGUGGGUCCUCAGUUAUUAGUAUACAGAGAAAAUGGACUGAUUCACUCGUGAUAUUAACCCUCCACCUCCGCCAAUAGUAGCUCAGACAUUUCAAACUAAGAUAAAACUUUAUCUACAAAACAGAUCAAAGUGAGCCACAAGUCCACAUCUGAACAGCAUUUUAGAAAGAAAAAGAGUGGCGUGGUGUAAUUGUGCACUAUAACAGCAAUGUAACAGAUACAGGAAGUACAGUGGGUUACAAACCACAAAUUGACUAUUACCUGGAAAAAAGCUAAAAGCUUUCAAAACAUGUGCAGAUUUAACGGAACACAAAGCAGGAUGAUGUACAAACCUUGAGGCAAGUUCAGAAAAGUGAAGGAAUUCCACAACAUCGCUGACACAGUGGAGCAGCCAAUCAGUGCAGUCGUUAACGUUUCAGCCAAUCAGAGCAGACCCAUCUCCUCUGCACUUGAAGGGCGGAAGAGAGCUAGGAUUAGAAGGAAUCAUGGACGGAGGUGGAAUAACAAGCAGUCAGGAACCUGAAGAGGAGCCUCAGACAGCAGGACCACAGCAGCAGGUCUCGUCUGACUGCAGCCCUCCAAGCAAGCAGUGUAAGAGGACCAAGCACAAAUGUCCCAUUUGUGGGCAACUGUAUGCUGACAUUAUCCAGCACCUGAGAAGCACGGAAAAGGUGGUCAAUAAAACAGAGCUCCUUCUUCUGAGCAAGACUUCUCAUCGACAUUUAAGGACAAAUCUGGACUGCCCAGUGCAUCUCUGCAAGUCCAAACAUAUAAACCGACUAGACAAGCAUCUGCAAAAGAUCCACCACCUGAAGAACCCAAUGGUAAGCCUUUAUAUAGAAAAAGCGGAGGAUUCUGAAGAAGAGGAGGAACAGGUCAUACGAAGGGUUCACAAGAUGGCCAAAAGAAAGAGAUCUGAGAGCCCUGUCUGGCAAAGAGAGAUGCAGCCGGCUUUUGUAAGCCCAGGAACAGCAAAGAUGUUGACAACGCACUCAAAAAAAGUCAAUAUUGGGAAGAUUAUUUCCCACAAGUCAUCCCUCUAUGAUGUCACCAUGCCAAUAUCUGGUGACAUCAUCAAACACCAGGCGGGAUCCACAGUCGGACAGAUGAUUCCCUUAGGAUCCGUGGGAGAAACAGUCUCCAAAGAGUUGCUGUUGGAGAAUGAAAUUUCAGUGGCAGACACAACAUUCGACAAGAACCUGUCUGAAGAAAGGGCGGGAGAAUAUAAAGGACAAGAAAAAGAAGGUGAAGUGGAUGAGGGCUCUUUAGAGAAGUCAAAGACUGAAGGUGAAGACAAAAAUAAGACAGAAAAUAAGAUAAAAGAAGGACGAAAUACAGAGAAAGAGACACAGGAAGACUCUUUUGAGAAAAUAGAGAGUAAGAGUGAAAAAAUAAAGAAGAGCGAAACAAAGAUUCAAGAGGAGUCCUUGGAGAAGAUGGAGAGUAAGAAUGAAAAUGGAGAGAAGAGAGAAACAAAGAUUCAAGAGAAGUCUUUGGAGAAGAUGGAGAGUAAGAGUGAAAGGGGAAAGAAGAGAGAAACAAGGAUUCAAGAGAAGUCUUUGGAGAAGAUGGAGAGUAAGAGUGAAAAGGGAAAGAAGAGAGAACCAAAGAUUCGAGAAGCUCCUUUGGUGAUGACGAGUAGUAAAGUUAAAAGGAGAUUCAGGAGUAGAGCAAAGAAAGAUGAGAAGCAUGUGGUGAUGAUGAGGAGUAGGGCUAAAGAAUUGCAAAGGAGAAAGCUAAAAGAGGAGCAUUUGGAGACGAGUGAGAGGGAAAGUGAAGAAGGAUCAAGUGGAACAGCACAAACCUGGAAGUCUUUGGAGAAGAUAGAGGGUAAGAGUGAAAAGGGAAACAAAAUAGAAACAAAGAUUCAAGAGAAGUCUUCGGAGAAGAUGGAGUGUAAGAGUAAAAAAGGAAAGAAGAGAGAAACAAAGAUUAAAGCGGAGUCUCUGGAGAAGAUGGAGAGUAAGACUGAAAAAGGAAAGAAGAGAGAAACAAAGAUUAAAGCGGAGUCUCUGGAGAAGAUGGAGAGUAAGACUGAAAAAGGAAAGAAGAGAGAAACAAAGAUUCAAAAGGAGCCUUUGGAGAAGAUGGAGAGCAAGACUGAAAAAGGAAAGAAGAGAGAAACAAAGAUUCAAAAGGAGCCUUUGGAGAAGAUGGAGAGUAAGACUGAAAAAGGAAAGAAGAGAGAAACAAAGAUUCAAAAGGAGCCUUUGGAGAAGAUGGAGAGUAAGACUGAAAAAGGAAAGAAGAGAGAAACAAAGAUUCAAAAGGAGCCUUUGGAGAAGAUGGAGAGUAAGACUGAAAAAGGAAAGAAGAGCGAAACAAAGAUUCAAAAGGAGCCUUUGGAGAAGAUGGAGAGUAAGACUGAAAAAGGAAAGAAGAGAGAAACAAAGAUUCUAAAGGAGCCUUUGGAGAAGAUGGAGAGUAAGACUGAAAAAGGAAAGAAGAGAGAAACAAAGAUUCAAAAGGAGCCUUUGGAGAAGAUGGAGAGUAAGAGUAAAAAAGGAAAGAAGAGAGAAACAAAGAUUAAAGCGGAGUCUCUGGAGAAGAUGGAGAGUAAGACUGAAAAAGGAAAGAAGAGAGAAACAAAGAUUCAAAAGGAGCCUUUGGAGAAGAUGGAGAGUAAGACUGAAAAAGGAAAGAAGAGAGAAACAAAGAUUCAAAAGGAGCCUUUGGAGAAGAUGGAGAGUAAGAGUGAAAGGGGAAAGAAGAGAGAAACAAAGAUUCAAGAGAAGUCUUUGGAGAAGAUGAUGAGUAAGAGUGAAAAGGGAAAGAAGAGAGAACCAAAGAUUCAAGAAGCUCCUUUGGUGAUGACAAGUAGUAAAGUUGAAAGGAGAUUCAGGAGAAGAGCAAAGAAAGAUGAGGACCAUGUGGUGAUGAUGAGGAGUAGGGCUUAAAGAAUUGCAAAGGAGAAGGCUAAAAGAGGAGGAUUUGGAGACGAGUGAGAGGAAAAGUGAAGAAGGAUCAAGUGGAACAGCACAAACCUGGAAGAUGCACUUUAAGAAAAGGAAAUUUCAAGAAUGACUGGAAGAAAGGAGAAAGCUGGAGGAAAUGGAAACUGAUCGAAACCUUUAGAAAAGGGGAAAAUUAAGCAUGUGCAUUAAAAUGUUCAGUUCAGAGUUCCUUGAAUUUGAUGUGAUCUAUAGAACUGGUCAACUUGCAAAAUAGUGGAAUUUGUUUUUCCCAAAGUCAUGAGUCCAGUAAUCCUAGCAUUCAAAUGUGUACAGGGUUUAGCUAAAGAGUUUUUUUGUAUCUAUUUUUCUAUAUUUGUCUGCUUUCCUAAUCGUGAAAAGCUUCACAGUAAAGAUUGGUCCAAAAGCCGUAUACUGUGUGUUCUGUGUUCAACAGUUCAGAAGAGUAAGGUAGUUUUUAUAUACUCCCACCAGUGAUGCAGGGAAGUAAACAUGUUGUUUUAUUUUUCAAAAUUUGCUCCAAUCAUGACCAGUCUUGACCCCAGGAAAGGGGGUAAACAUUUGUUGUUGUUCUCUUGGAUUACAGACCACUUUCUCAGUAUAGUAACACUAAAACAACUCCAACUCCAACUCCUACACCAGAGAUGCUCCUAUCUGGAAUCCAGAGAAUCCGCCUUGUAUUUCGAUUGUUAGUUCUUUCCAGGUGCUUGGGGGGUUAUGAGGAUCCCCAGUGCAGGGCCCUUGUUUGUCCUGGCCAUUCACAAGGCCAUUAAAUGCAUCUUCAUCCAACCUUACUCUAGAGAUACUGAGGGCCACCUGUUGGGGGGAGGAGCAUGACAUUUUGGAGAGGUUAAGCAUGACUCAAAAGUUUCAAGGGUCGUGAGAAGAGUAGUUGGGUUUUACAUCUAUUUAAUUUGAGGCUUAUUGUCAAAGACUUGAUCUGUUGCUCCUGUGUCCUCAUUUGGAUCCUGAAGCAGUAGGAAAUUUACAUUUUAACCAUGGUGGCUCAAUGCUGUAAAGAUCAAUAUAUAAUAAAUGUGUUUAUAUAUUAUAUUCAGUUACAUGAUCUGUAUCACUGUGUGCUCCUCGUUUGCUCCUCCCCUGAGUGGGACAGAGAAGUUAUGUGGGGAGGAGCGCAGCCCAGCUGCACGGUGCUCAUUAGAUAUGCAAAUGUAGCAUGACUACAUGAGGUCCUAAGUUAGCAUGAGGUCCUAAGUUAUUUCUAAAGCUACUUCCAGUAUGUUAGUCGCAGUCAACAUGCUUCCUGGAUAACAUGGUUGUAGACAUCUCAGGGAUCUCCUGGUUCAAGUUUCAGGUCUCUGUCUGCUUAGACCAAAUUAGUUCAAAAGGGAAGGCCUCAGUCAAGGUCAAAGGUCAUUGGAGACCACCCUCUCAGUAUAUACAUUUAAAAAAAAAAAAACAUCCUCUGCAACUUUGUCCCUUUGACAUAAAAAUGCACCGGCUGAUUCAUGAGCCCUCCAGGUCCUGGUACAUAAAAAGCUGAAAUUCACAGGACAUGGUCCUUGGGGGGGCCUAGAUCAUUUGUACACAUUUUGGUGGAUGAAGCAGCAAGGCUUGAUCAAGUGGCAGACUUUGCAAGUGUAUGACUGAGGCCUGUUCAGCCAAAUGUGGCUGAAUCGACUCACUGUCACAUUUGCUGUAAAGCAGAGGUCUAACUAGCUAAACAUUAGGACCCCUAAAUUGUCUGUCUGUCCCAACAGGAAGUGACCUAAUUUUGACCCCAAACUUCAGGAGGUCAUUUAGACCACCUUCUCAGUAUAUAAAGGCUAUAGCACCCAACAUACACCCUUAAGAUUCUUUAAUAAAGGUUAGAACCUCUGAACCAAGGUUAUAUUAAACCUGCUGGUCUUCAAUGGAAUAACAUUCUGCAGAAGUGAGGGCUUUUACUGCUGAGUUUUUACAGUAUCUCUAAUGACCAUGGCUCGUGUGCGUUUCUGUCAGCCGAGUACACCAACAAGUACAUCUCCAUCACUCAGGGUGAGUGACCUGAUCCCACAGGAUGUUUACUUAUGUACUCACCAAAAUAGGAGACUUAACAGACUGCUGACAGAGUGACUGCAGUCUGAAUGUGUUUCAGUUGAGAGCCACCAGACCUGAGUUGUUUACACUACCUCUGAGCCCUUAUGAGUCAACCCAGGGUAAGUCAGCCAACCUCUGACCCUGCUGUCGUCAGUGAGAGGGGGAGUGAAUGGGGAGUGAUUUACUUGCAAGUUUUUUUCUAUCAUAUAAGAGAAUGGUCACAUGCCCUACGUGAGUGUUUCACUUUUGUGUUGCUGCAGAAGAAACAUUAAAGAUGGAGUCACAAAGGUUUUAGUUUACUGUUCUGUUCCAAAUAGUAAAAUAAAGUUAGGACAUUUCAGAAUCAUAGAUUAAUGUUUUGAAAUUGUAAAUCUUCUUCUUUCACAUCGCUGUGUGCCUGACUCUCUUCAAAUAUGAGAUCAGAAUCAGAAUUCCUUUAAUGUCCCGUAGACCGGGAAAUGUGUAUGUUGCAACAGCAGAAUAUUACAAGACAGAGAAAUAGAAAAAUAGACAAAAAAAUGAUAAUUUUAUAUACAGAUUUUAUGUAAAGGUAAUAAAUAUGGGUGAUGAAAUGAGUUUGUACAGACUUAUUGCACAGUGCAGAGCAUGGGGUGAGGUCGAUAUGGAGCAGUGCUGGUUGUUAAGUCUGACAGCAGCAGGAAGGAAGGACCUGCGAUACCUCUCCUUCACACACUUGGGGUGUAUCAGUCUGUUGCUGAAGGAGCUGCCCAGUGCUGAGAUAGAGACCUGCAGGGGAUGGGACUCCUGCAUCAGCAGCGAUGACAGCUUGUCCAUCAUCCUGCUCUCUCCCACCACCUGCACUGGGUCAAGAGGGUAUCCCAGGAUGAAGCUGGCCUUCUUGAUAAGUUUAUCAAGUCUCCUCCUGUCUGCUGCUGAGAUGCUGCUGCUCCAGCAGACUACUCCAUAGAAAAUGGCUGAUGCCACCACAGAGUCAUAGAAAGAGGUCAGGAGUGCCCCCUGCACUCCAAAGGACCUGAGCUUCCUCAGCAGAUACAGUCUGCUCUGACCUUUCUUGUAUGUAGCUGCAGUGUGAUCAGUCCAGUCCAGUUUAUUGUUCAGGUGAACUCCCAGGUACUUGUAAGAUGUCACCAUCUCAAUGUCUGUUCCCAGGAUGUUCACCUUUGUGCAGGGUUGUCUGUGCCUGCGCAAAUCCACCACCAGCUCUUUGGUCUUCCCGGCGUUGAGCUGGAGAUGGUUCUGCUGGCACCAGUCCACAAAGUCCUUGAUGAGUUCUCUGUAGGCUCUGUCGUCCCCGUCCCUGAUGAUGCUGUAAGAAUACAUCAUUCUUAGAAUAUUAUAGCAUAUGCUUGUGCAUGUCUCUGUGUGUUUGAGGUUGUGUGUCUCUACGGAUGCAGGUCAAUUUGAUCCAGAGACCUGAAGGAUGUAAAUGUGCAGGGUAUGUGUGCUCAGACUUUUAUUUUAUUUGUUUCUUAUUCAUUUAUUUAUUUAUUUUGCAAUGUUUAUCACAGAAUAUAAUCUAAGGCCAUUGAGUUUCAGGUUGAAAGAAAUUAUACUAGUACCAUUUUUCUUGUGAAACACCAUACAAUAGUUAGCUAUCUUUGCCUCAGCCUCUGGCCAUCCAAACAGUAUAAGCGAUGGUAAAAACUCCUCUCCUGUGGAACCCACACUGUCCCAAGGCACCCACAAGGAGUGAGAAGAGACAGAAAGAUCGAAAGGGGGGACAGAGAGGUGGACGGGCAGACCAGGAGCAGCAAAAUGAAAUAAAAACCUCACUUUUCUGAUAGUCCGGUAACAGGUCUGAACA